GUAAAAUGUACCACAGGAGCUGCCCAAAAUGUCAGCUCCUGUGGAAAUGGCAGAUUCAUAACAUCUCCUUAGCCUGCUGCCCUCACAGGAGCUGUGCUCAGUACAAAGCUGAAGCAUCGUCCUCGACUCCUAUGCCUCUCAGAAAUUACAUAAGAAUUUCUAUAAAUUUGA